GCCAUGGUUCUCUGAAGAGAGGGCCUGUAUGGAGCGUGCCUGGAAUGAGAGAAGCAGAGGGACAGCUCCUGCGCUCUCCCCAGCGGGGCCUGGCAAGCAGGCUGUGUCUAGCAUCCUUGGAUCUCCAGGGCCUGGCACAAUGACUGACAUACAGAUGUUGUCACGUCUGGAGGGGAGACCUGGAAUUACUGAAACCAUCUUGCCAUCAGCCUGAGAUGGAGCAGAUGCAUGAGGAUGGCAGAGCAGAAAGAUGAUGCAAUAUUUGAUUUAAAAAAUAUUUGGCUGCCUCCUGAGAUCAUCUCACUAUUUGAAGUUGCCAGUCCAGACAGAAGCAAGUCUCCUCCAACUUGGUGAAGGAAGCAGUGAAAGUGGAGGUUUGAAGAUCCUUAGCAGCUAGAAGGAGCUGUAUGGAGUGAGAUCGGGAGGAGAAAGAAAGCAUGCACACUGCGUCUGCUGCUCUUACUUCAGUGGCGGAAAAACAGUGCUGGAAGGUGC